GACGAACGCUGGCGGCGUGCUUAACACAUGCAAGUCGAACGGAAAGGCCCGGCUCUUGUGGGGUGCUCGUGAGGCGAACGGGUGAGUAACACGUGAGUAACCCGUCCCUGACUUUGGGAUAACUUCAGGGAACUGCGGCUAAUACCGGAUAUGAGCUCCUGCUGCAUGGUGGGGGUUGGAAAGUGUCGGCGGUUGGGGCUGGACUCGCGGCUUAUCAGCUUGUUGGUGGGGUAGUGGCUUACCAAGGCUUCGACGGGUAGCCGGCCUGAGAGGGUGACCGGCCACAUUGGGACUGAGAUACGGCCCAGACUCCUACGGGACGCAGCAGUGGGGAAUAUUGCGCAAUGGGGGGAAGCCUGAUACAGCAACGCCGCGUGCGGGAUGCUGGCCUUCGGGUUGUAAACAGAUUUCGCCUGUGCCGAAGCGUGAGUGACGGUAAUGGGUAAAGAAGCACCGGCUAACUACGUG
rnacentral:rRNA from 1 species